UGUGGGAGCGGGCUUGCUCGCGAUAGCGGUGGAUCAGUCAGUAAUUUUUUUGACUGAUCCACCGCUAUCGCGAGCAAGCCCGCUCCCACA
rnacentral:misc_RNA from 1 species